rnacentral:rRNA from 1 species
GAUGAACGCUGGCGGCGUGCCUAAUACAUGCCAGUCGAGCGAACGGACGAGAAGCUUGCUUCUCUGAUGUUAGCGGCGGACGGGUGAGUAACACGUGGAUAACCUACCUAUAAGACUGGGAUAACUUCGGGAAACCGGAGCUAAUACCGGAUAAUAUUUUGAACCGCAUGGUCCAAAAGUGAAAGACGGUCUUGCUGUCACUUAUAGAUGGAUCCGCGCUGCAUUAGCUAGUUGGUAAGGUAACGGCUUACCAAGGCAACGAUGCAUAGCCGACCUGAGAGGGUGAUCGGCCACACUGGAACUGAGACACGGUCCAGACUCCUACGGGAGGCAGCAGUAGGGAAUCUUCCGCAAUGGGCGAAAGCCUGACGGAGCAACGCCGCGUGAGUGAUGAAGGUCUUCGGAUCGUAAAACUCUGUUAUUAGGGAAGAACAUAUGUGUAAGUAACUGUGCACAUCUUGACGGUACCUAAUCAGAAAGCCACGGCUAACUACGUG